GCUCUACAUGCUGGCUGAGGAAUUUCUGACUGGAGAAGGCCAGAGAGCAGGAGGCACAUGGAUGGAUCUCUGGCUUUGGUUCUGCUGAAAGAAGAAGUUUUUGGUCAGGCCUCCUUCCCCUGGUUGGUCUCCCAGCCAGUCCUUGUCACCCCACCUCUCCUGCCUUGGAUGGCGCACUAGCUGGUGCUUCUGCCUGGACCUCUUUGCCCACAGAACAGUGGUGCCCACCUCUCUGUGCUGUGAGCUCUCCCUUCCACUUGCUUCCACACUUGAUGCCCAGCUCCUGGCCAUACUCAUCUCCAUACCAGACCAGUAGUUCACUGCCCGGCCUGAUGAGCUGGC